UACGUAGGGUGCAAGCGUUAAUCGGAAUUACUGGGCGUAAAGCGUGCGCAGGCGGUUGUGCAAGACAGAUGUGAAAUCCCCGGGCUUAACCUGGGAACUGCAUUUGUGACUGUAGAGCUGGAGUGCGGCAGAGGGGGAUGGAAUUCCGCGUGUAGCAGUGAAAUGCGUAGAUAUGCGGAGGAACACCGAUGGCGAAGGCAAUCCCCUGGGCCUGCACUGACGCUCAUGCACGAAAGCGUAGGGGAGCGAAACAAGG
rnacentral:rRNA from 1 species